AUAGUUGUAUGUGUGUGUGUGUGUGUGUGUGUGUGUAUAUAUAUAUAUAUACACAUAUACAUAUAUAUAU
rnacentral:miRNA from 1 species